AGCACGACACACCGGAAUCCGUGCCUCCGAGGUCAAGGGAGGGUCACGAACCGCAUCGAGGCCGAAGUGACAAACCAACACGGCCUCCGCCACCUCCCACGGAGGAUCUGGACCAUCUGGUUAAUCUCACAAGCCAGCAAAACUCAGCCUAUCAGAUACCGAAACCAGAGAGUUCCCAAAAAGGUGCAGGUUACCACUAUAAGCCGUAGGGGAGAAAGCCAGAUGGUUGGUGUUUUUUUUUUUUAUUGUUUUUUUUGUGGGUAGCAACUCUCCUCUGUAGCAAACCGUGCCGGUCUUCUUCCUGAAGAUGGCCUCUCCGAGGGGCUCCACAGACGGCAUCUCUACCGGUGUUGCCACACCCCAAGUCAGUGCCUCUUCUUCAUCAUCAUCAUCAUCGUCUUCGUCUUCGUCAUCUUCUUCAGUCUGUGAAGCUUCCUCUCUCUCAUCGCCUCUGAUCGCUCAGGCGGGGCUGUUGGUGGGUGAUCAGAGGGUGAGCUGUUGAGCCGGGGCUGUCCUCCACCCAUCCUCUCCCUCUCUCCCUCUCUCUCUCUCCUCUCUGCUCCACUGGUUGGCUCCUGGCUCUUGCCCUGGAGGUGCCCAUCCUUUCCGGUUACGGUUGGCCAACAAAGCUGCUUCUGUAUGGUGGGCGCAAGAGCGAAGAGGGGAGAACGAAGAGGAUGGGGAGGGAGAAGGAGACGUCGCCCCUCCUGCUUUAUCUGUGAUGGCUGGACUCAGAUGAAAGGGAAGGUGGGCAUGUCUCCACUUGGUAGCAGUUCAUGUGAACAUUUCCAACCCGUUGGAGCUGUGAGGAGACACUCCCCCCCCCAUUUAUUUCCUGGUCCUCUCCCUACCACCUCUGUUUUAGAAGUGAUGGUCUCACCACCGGGCUGUCCUCAUCGAACAUGGGUUGACUGAAUGCUUCUCUCUAGCAAAUGGAGACACACGUGGACCUCCGUAAGCCACGCGUUCCGUGAUUUCAUUCAGGGCUGCUUUGCCUAUCACACAUUGGGGGACGUUACACCAAAGAGACCUUCAGGGUACCUGGGAAGAGAGAGGAGAUUUCCUGCUGGGUCAGAGUCCUGUCCAUACUCAGUGCGAAAACCCAGGUUUCCUGUU